GGGGGGCCUCGGCGUCGGGGCGGGCAGGGCCGGGCCCGCGCGUGGCUCCGCUGGGCUCCGCUGGGCUCCGCCGGCCCCGGCGCGGCAGGGCGGGAUGGCGGUCGGGCUGGGGCCGUGGCUGCUGGCCUUGGCCUGGGCCGCGGGGCCGGCAGGGGUGUGGGCGCAGCCGAGGCUGGUGGAGGCCGGUGGGGGGCUGCGACCGUCCGGGGGCUCCGUGCAGCUCUCCUGCCGCGCCUUCACCUUGCCAUUCAGCUUUCGUCAUGCUUACUGGUACCGUCAAGCAUUCGGUGGUGGACUGGAGUGGGUGUCUACCAUCUCGCAUGACUCCUCAGUCACUAAAUUCGGGCCAGGAGUGGAGGGUCGAGCCGCCGUGUCCCGGGACAAUUCCCAGUCUUUGUUAUAUCUCGCUCUGCGUGCCCUGCGCCCCCAGGACUCUGCCCGCUGCUUCUGCUUAAUCGACACGGUGGCAGGGAAUCCAGCAGAGCUCUCACAGAAACCUGCUGGAGUCUGGCCCAGACGGUGGGACUAUUGGGGAGUGGAGUGCUAGGGCAGCUCUGGAGUGUUCCCAGGGAGGGAGAGAGCAUCGCUGUGCAUGGUGGGUGGUCCAGCUUUUCAGCAAGAGCUGCUUUCCCUGCACUGUCCCUUUCCUUCUGCUGAGUCCCAAAAGCAGUGUUCUAUUUUGCAGAGGAUGUCCAGUAUAUUCCUUGUCACACAGCCAGCCUGGCUACUUUAGCUGUCUGCAGCACUUCUCUGCCUUGCCUUGAUCCCCAUCCUGGGUGCUCAUAGCGUGGAUGGGCAUACUCUCUUCUGAGUUAAAAACUGAGUGGAUGGCCAGACCCAAAGAGUGCUCUCCUGCCGCGGAUCCGGAUUCCAGUUCAAGGGUCUUGAUGUUUGGUGGUACCGUCAAGCAUUCGGUGGCGGACUCGAGUGGGUGUCCGCCUGCUGGUCAUUUGGUGCUAUAAAUUGUGGAG